UUUUUUUAUCUUUCUUAUUUUUCGUUUUCUCUAGCACCCAACUCCUCCCACCUGCUCUCUCUCCGACAAAGCCGCGACCCCUCUCUGUUAAAUCCUCCACACCACCCCCGCCGACCGUCGACCAGGGGAGGCGAUCGAAAAGAGCUCGCCGAUUCGGGCUGUGGUCUGUGCGUGACGCUUUCCGGCGCUAGCCCAUCGAGUUUUCCACCACUCCCCAAAUUGUAAUUCCUCUAGAUUAGAAUCUGUCAUUUGUGGGAUUUUAUUUUUUCCGCUUCUGUGCGUUGCAUAUUCCCGGCCAUUACCUGCGAUUGGAUCGGUAAUAGGGGUUUAAUUUUACUGCUGUCCAAAUGAAUUUUGGGCUUAUUUAUUAUUCGUCGUCUUUGCUUCGUUUUCCUUGAACGAAAACUUCGUUAUGUAUGGUAGUGUUGAUGUUUUCGAUGAUGACUAAACAUAUGAUUGAUGAUAAAUAUGGAUGUUAUUUAAAGUUUUUUACUUAUUUAUGUUAUAUUUGAUUUGUUUAGCGAAAUUUGUGGUCGAUCAUGAAUCUACAUCUAUAAACUAUACGUCUGUUUGUUAGAAUUCAGAAUUUUAAUAUAUGGAGCUUUGUUGGU
rnacentral:lncRNA from 1 species